GUAAGAUGGCCCCAGCAAAGCUGGUUGGGGGCCUGUUCUCAGGGUCCUGAUAGGCUGGGCUCUGGACCCUGGUGUGGGUGGGGUAGUGAAAAUGGAGGGGAAGAAAAACGGUGAGAAGCAGCUCAGAGGAGACUCUGGAUUUUAGUGACUUUCUGGUCACGGGGAACAUCCAAGUGGGAGGAAGGAAGAGCUCCAAGUGGGUCAUAAAUCGCAGUCACUCAGCCUUGGGGGGCUGCCGGGCCCCGCGGAGGCAGCGCAGCCCCGCGCGGAGCAGCACGCGGGAACGGAGCAGCUCGCAGGCCCGCUGUUCAAGCUGGCUGAGUCUCCCGCCCCCCCCCCCCCCCCCCCCCCCCCCGUAAUAGGUCCCUUCAAGUCCCUGCACGGUUAUUAAUAGACGCGUGCUGGGCAGCUGUCCCGCACAUCCGGGGAAGACAGCACCCCCGAAGCCGGCCGGGCACCUCCGCCGCGCAGCAGGCGGGCGGACUCCCGGGGGCAGAGGCAUAUAAAGGCUCUUUUGUGGUCUCCCAACUGCCCUCUCCCCUCCUCUUUGUUUUUGGCAUCUGUCAUUAUGCCCCGCAAACCACAGCCAGGCCUCCUGACGGCACCAAUAUCUGCUUUCCUGCCGCCUCGGAAGGCAGGCAAAUUCCUGCUGCCUCUGCCUGUGAGAGGGACUCAGAACAAGUGAGAGUGUGAGCAGGAGAGACUCUUCGAGACUGUCUGUAAGUGACCAUGAAUCUGACCCCUGUAAAUCUGAGAAGAUUGAGGCCCGCUCUGUACAGUCUGUUUGAAUAGCAGUUUUAUGCUAGUUCCAAAUCACUAGAUUUAAACCUUGUGGUCAUAUGAUUUUAUAGUCUUGGUAAGAUUUUCUUUUUGAAGGAGACACUCAAAAACGAGAGGGGGAGUACAUGUAAUAUUCAGUGUAGGCAGUUGGAUGUGUGUUUAGAAUAUGGAGGUUUAGAAGACAAAACUCGGACUAAAUACAAUUUUUUUAAAAGGAGGGAAAUUAACAGGCAGAAAGUUAUGUCUCUUGUUUAAAAUCCUCUAAAAUAAAUAUGGGAGGAGUAAAUUGAGCCUAAGGUGA
rnacentral:lncRNA from 1 species